AGAGUUUGAUCCUGGCUCAGGACGAACGCUGGCGGCGUGCUUAACACAUGCAAGUCGAACGGAAAGGCCCUUCGGGGUACACGAGUGGCGAACGGGUGAGUAACACGUGGGUAAUCUGCCCUGCACAUCGGGAUAAGCCUGGGAAACUGGGUCUAAUACCGAAUAGGACCACAGGACACAUGUCCUGUGGUGGAAAGCUUUUGCGGUGUGGGAUGGGCCCGCGGCCUAUCAGCUUGUUGGUGGGGUGAUGGCCUACCAAGGCGACGACGGGUAGCCGGCCUGAGAGGGUGUCCGGCCACACUGGGACUGAGAUACGGCCCAGACUCCUACGGGAGGCAGCAGUGGGGAAUAUUGCACAAUGGGCGAAAGCCUGAUGCAGCGACGCCGCGUGGGGGAUGACGGCCUUCGGGUUGUAAACCUCUUUCACCAUCGACGAAGGUCCGGGUUUUCUCGGGCUGACGGUAGGUGGAGAAGAAGCACCGGCCAACUACGUGCCAGCAGCCGCGGUAAUACGUAGGGUGCGAGCGUUGUCCGGAAUUACUGGGCGUAAAGAGCUCGUAGGUGGUUUGUCGCGUUGUUCGUGAAAUCUCACGGCUUAACUGUGAGCGUGCGGGCGAUACGGGCAGACUUGAGUACUGCAGGGGAGACUGGAAUUCCUGGUGUAGCGGUGGAAUGCGCAGAUAUCAGGAGGAACACCGGUGGCGAAGGCGGGUCUCUGGGCAGUAACUGACGCUGAGGAGCGAAAGCGUGGGGAGCGAACAGGAUUAGAUACCCUGGUAGUCC
rnacentral:rRNA from 1 species